GUGAGGAAUAUUGCGCAAUGGAGGCAACUCUGACGCAGCCAUGCCGCGUGCAGGAAGAAGGCGCUACGCGUUGUAAACUGCUUUUAACCGGGAAGAAACCCCAGGACGUGUCCUGGGUUGACGGUACCGGAGGAAUAAGCACCGGCUAACUUCGUGCCAGCAGCCGCGGUAAUACGAAGGGUGCAAGCGUUAUCCGGAUGCAUUGGGGUUAAAGGGUGCGUAGGCGGAGCGUUAAGUCAGUGGUGGAAUCCUGCAGCUUAACUGUAGACUUGCCAUUGAUACUGGCGCUCUUGAGUGCGCUUGAAGUGGGCGGAAUGUGCCGUGUAGCGGUGAAAUGCUUAGAUAUGGCACAGAACACCAAUUGCGAAGGCAGCUCACUAAGGCGAUACUGACGCUGAGGCACGAAAGCGUGGGGAUCGAACAGGAUUAGAAACCCCGGUAGUCC
rnacentral:rRNA from 1 species